CUGUGAUUGAGCAAUUUACAGAAAACGAGGGGUGGGAAUGAUAUUUAUACAAUGUAAGUGAUAUUCUUUUUCAAAGACAAGAACAGGAUCCAACUGCUUAUCACUUAAAUCCCACUUAAGGGCUAUAUGAAAUCCACAUAGUGGCUGAGCAAUUGUAGCGUUAUAGGUCCGUCCGUCCCCCGCGCGCUUUAAAGCAUCAGCUCAACUGUUAGGGGAGUAUAGGGAAAGUACCAUUGAAAUGGCUUAGCUGGGCAAUGUGGACAGUUAUAGAAAAUACCCUUGUAAGAGUUGUGAGGGAUGCUUAACCAACAGGGUCUAUUUCAGCUCAAUCAAAGAUUAAAAUCUGUGACAGGGAGGAAAUUGAGGAACUGGGUUCCAUUCCCAUUUCAAAGUCAUUCUUUGAAAUCACACUUCCACAAAUUUUACAGUGCCAUUCUCCAGCCUAAAAUGCACACUUUAUGGUAAAGUGUGUAGUGGGAGGCCCCAUUAGCUAAAGUGGCACCUCAGGUUAAGAACAGUUUCAGGUUAAGAACAGACCUCCAGAACGAAUUAAGUUCUUAACCUGAGGUACCACUGUAAGGCGAAAUUGUUGUGGAAGAGAAUGUAUUGUAGGCAACAUCAGGUAACGUUGUUUUCUCCUUCUCUCACAAUAGCUGAACUUGGAAUCAUGCAAUCAAGCAGGAUGUUGGAAGUUUCUGCCUGUGUUGUGUUAUUCCUGUAUUGCAAGGGGUUGGACUAGAGGACCCUCAGGGUCCCAUUCAACUCUACAAUUCUGUAACAGCAGAAUCGGAACCCAAGGGCCCCACCCCCUGGUUGCCUGCAAUUCUAUAGCCUCUGAAAUGCACCACUAAAAUUAGGAGGUGAAAGGAAGCAUGAUUGUUCUCAAGGAUCACAGAGCACAUGCAUGGAGAACAAACAGCCACUGUGCACCCAGAGUUCCACUACAGCCCUUACAGGGAAAGAGCCAACUAUUCAACAGCUAUGAGACCUACCCCAUGCCCAGUUCCUUGCAGAUCAUGAGGAAGGCCCACAACCAUGAGCCCUGGAGGUUUGCCAGCCUAUUUGCUCCACACAGGUUCCUCCUUGCUCCUGACCGGCAAAAGACUCUUUCUUUGACACAGUACAUCUUCAACACUUGUCCCAAGGAGUCCUGUGUGUCCUCUCUGUAG
rnacentral:lncRNA from 1 species